rnacentral:rRNA from 1 species
UUUCGACCUGAGGUCAGGCAAGAACACCCGCUGAACUUAAGCAUAUCAAUAAGCGGAGG